rnacentral:rRNA from 1 species
AUACGUAGGGGGCGAGCGUUGUCCGGAAUGAUUGGGCGUAAAGGGCGCGUAGGCGGCCCGGUAAGUCUGGAGUGAAAGUCCUGUUUUUAAGAUGGGAAUUGCUUUGGAUACUGUCGGGCUUGAGUGCAGGAGAGGUAAGUGGAAUUCCCAGUGUAGCGGUGAAAUGCGUAGAGAUUGGGAGGAACACCAGUGGCGAAGGCGACUUACUGGACUGUAACUGACGCUGAGGCGCGAAAGUGUGGGGAGCAAACAGGAUUAGAUACCCUGGUAGUCCACACUGUAAACGAUGAAUGCUAGGUGUAGGGGGUAUCGACCCCUUCUGUGCCGCAGUCAACACAGUAAGCAUUCCGCCUGGGGAGUACGGCCGCAAGGUUGAAACUCAAAGGAAUUGACGGGG